rnacentral:rRNA from 1 species
CCUACGGGUGGCUGCAGUGGGGAAUAUUGGACAAUGGGCGCAAGCCUGAUCCAGCAAUGCCGCGUGUGUGAAGAAGGCCUGCGGGUUGUAAAGCACUGUGAGUGGGGAAGAAGGCCUGGGGGUUAAUAGCUUCUGGGAUUGACGUUACCCACAGAACAAGCACCGGCUAACUCCGUGCCAGCAGCCGCGGUAAUACGGAGGGUGCGUGCGUUAAUCGGAAUUACUGGGGGCGGAUCGCGCAGUGUCGUGUGAAAGCCCUGGGCUUAACCUGGGAACUGCAGUGGAUACUGUUUGACUAGAGUGUGGUAGAGGGGUGUGGAAUUUCCGGUGUAGCAGUGAAAUGCGUAGAGAUCGGAAGGAACACCAGUGGCGAAGGCGGCACCCUGGACCGACACUGACGCUGAGGUGCGAAAGCGUGGGGAGCAAACAGGAUUAGAUACCCCAGUAGUC